AAACGUAGGCAUGGGAGACGCGGGUCAAACUGUAGUAUCCGUUCUUAUCAGCUUAAUAUCUGACAGGGGUCGUAUUUGGACCUAAGAUAUUAAACUUAUUUUUGCAAGUUGGCGGAAUGCUUAAAGCCUGUUUCACCUCCGUCGCGGCUCGGCCCGGUAUUGCACUACCUUCGGGAUCGGGCCAUGUGUG